rnacentral:lncRNA from 1 species
CAUAUAAAACAUAUCAAUUACCUUUCAUCUUUCCUUCUCUUCUGACAAAUCUUGUUCAAGGCAUCUUAUUGCAGUGCAAGUUUGUUUUCGUCUCUUUUAUUUACACAACCACUGCCGCUAGCAUCUCCACUUCCAUUUUUUCCAGCUUGUCCUAGAUCACUUUCUGCAUUAAACCCUAAAGCAGUGCUACUUCCAUUUAGCCCAUUGCUUCCAUGUUUACUUCUUGAGGCAUGUCCAUUAAAACUAUAGUUUCUGAGGUUAGCAUUAAUUGGUUCACAAAAUACAUUUGAUGAUCCACCGCAUGGAGAAUAUGCAGUCAAUUUCUUUAGGGACAAUUCACUGGGGUCCAAUGGUGGCUGUUGUUCCAAGUUGAGGAAAUUAUGGCAAUGGUGAAGGUGAUGAUGGUGGUGGUGGUGGUGGUGGUGGUGAUGAUAAGGGUGCAGGCCAUCCUGAUUUAAGCCUCUCUAUACAGCUAAGUUUUCUGUAGUUUGCAUGUUAUUGUGUAUAACUAGAUUGUCUUGUUGUUGGGUAUACGUAAGGUCAUUUUUCACAGGUCUGAAAGCGGAAGGGUUAAUUGUAGACGUUGCUUCGGACUUAUCCUUCACGACUAACAGGUACGUACUAAGCUUAUUAGUUGUGGAUCCCAUAUCUAUAAUAUUGCCACUCCCUUUUGAACUUUGACAUAGAAGACGGUCAAUUGAAUGAGCUUGUAUGUCAAAAACCGACUUUCUUUUUGCAUGUUCUACACUACAAUCAACUACUGAACUGCUUUCAGUGAUCCCAUUAAGGGUUUUGAUGACAUUUGAGGAUGUAUUAUACCUACGAGA